AUACGUAGGGGGCGAGCGUUGUCCGGAAUGAUUGGGCGUAAAGGGCGCGUAGGCGGCCCGGUAAGUCUGGAGUGAAAGUCCUGUUUUUAAGAUGGGAAUUGCUUUGGAUACUGUCGGGCUUGAGUGCAGGAGAGGUAAGUGGAAUUCCCAGUGUAGCGGUGAAAUGCGUAGAGAUUGGGAGGAACACCAGUGGCGAAGGCGACUUACUGGACUGUAACUGACGCUGAGGCGCGAAAGUGUGGGGAGCAAACAGGAUUAGAUACCCUGGUAGUCCACACUGUAAACGAUGAAUGCUAGGUGUAGGGGUCUUCCACGACUUCUGUGCCGUAGCUAACGCAUUAAGCGCCCCGCCUGGGGAGUACGGCCGCAAGGCUAAAACUCAAAUGAAUUGACGGGG
rnacentral:rRNA from 1 species